CCUACGGGAGGCAGCAGUGGGGAAUAUUGGGCAAUGGGCGCAAGCCUGACCCAGCAACGCCGCGUGAAGGAAGAAGGCUUUCGGGUUGUAAACUUCUUUUCUCAGGGACGUAGAAAGUGACGGUACCUGCGGAAUAAGCCACGGCUAACUACGUGCCAGGAGCCGCGGUAAUACGGAGGUGGCAAGCGUUAUCCGGAUUUAUUGGGUGUAAGGGGCGUGUAGGCGGGAGGGUAAGUCAGAUGUGAAAGCUCAGGGCUCAACCCUGGCCCUGCAUUUGAAACUGUGUUUCUUGAGUGCUGGAGAGGCAAUCGGAAUUCCGGGUGUAGCGGUGAAAUGCGUAGAUAUAC
rnacentral:rRNA from 1 species